AACGAACGCUGGCGGCAUGCCUAACACAUGCAAGUCGAACGAGACCUUCGGGUCUAGUGGCGCACGGGUGCGUAACGCGUGGGAACCUGCCCUUAGGUUCGGAAUAACUCCCCGAAAGGGGUGCUAAUACCGGAUAAUGUCUUCGGACCAAAGAUUUAUCGCCUUUGGAUGGGCCCGCGUUGGAUUAGCUAGUUGGUAGGGUAAAAGCCUACCAAGGCGACGAUCCAUAGAUGGUCUGAGAGGAUGAUCAGCCACACUGGGACUGAGACACGGCCCAGACUCCUACGGGAGGCAGCAGUGGGGAAUAUUGGACAAUGGGCGAAAGCCUGAUCCAGCAAUGCCGCGUGAGUGAUGAAGGCCUUAGGGUUGUAAAGCUCUUUUACCCGGGAUGAUAAUGACAGUACCGGGAGAAUAAGCGCCGGCUAACUCCGUG
rnacentral:rRNA from 1 species